rnacentral:rRNA from 1 species
AUUGAACGCUGGCGGCCGGCCUAACACAUGCAAGUCGAACGAGUGGCGGACGGGUGAGUAAUGUCUGGGAAACUGCCCGCUGGAGGGGGAUAACUACUGGAAACGGUAGCUAAUACCGCAUACCAUCGGAUGUGCCCAGAUGGGAUUAGCUGGUUGGUGGGGUAACGGCGCACCUAGGCGACGAUCCCUAGCGGGUCUGAGCGGAUGACCAGCCACACUGGAACUGAUAUGCGGGCCAGACUCCUCCGGUAGGCAGCAGUGGGGAAUAUUGCACAUGGGGCGCCAUCCUGAUGCAGCCAUGCCGCGUGUAUGAAGAAGGCCUUCGUGUUGUAAAGGAUUUUCAGCGAGUAGGCGUUACUCGCAGAAGAAGCACCGGCUAACUCCGUGCCAGCCGCCGCGGUAAUUC